rnacentral:rRNA from 1 species
AUGAACGCUGGCGGCGUGCCUAAUACAUGCAAGUCGAGCGAACAGACGAGGAGCUUGCUCCUCUGACGUUAGCGGCGGACGGGUGAGUAACACGUGGAUAACCUACCUAUAAGACUGGGAUAACUUCGGGAAACCGGAGCUAAUACCGGAUAAUAUAUUGAACCGCAUGGUUCAAUAGUGAAAGACGGUUUUGCUGUCACUUAUAGAUGGAUCCGCACCGCAUUAGCUAGUUGGUAAGGUAACGGCUUACCAAGGCGACGAUGCGUAGCCGACCUGAGAGGGUGAUCGGCCACACUGGAACUGAGACACGGUCCAGACUCCUACGGGAGGCAGCAGUAGGGAAUCUUCCGCAAUGGGCGAAAGCCUGACGGAGCAACGCCGCGUGAGUGAUGAAGGUCUUCGGAUCGUAAAACUCUGUUAUUAGGGAAGAACAAAUGUGUAAGUAACUAUGCACGUCUUGACGGUACCUAAUCAGAAAGCCACGGCUAACUACGUG